rnacentral:lncRNA from 1 species
AUGUAUCAAUAAAUUAUCUAAUGUGUAUCAUUUACUCAUAUACUGUGUAUUGAUAAAUACUAUAUUUUAAAAAUAAUAUAUCGUUUUAUUUAGAUACGUGUAUUAGAAUGUUAAAUGAAUAUUUUGCUAGAUAUGUAUCAACUAAUCAUAUACUGUGUACUAGUGAAUGAUAAACUAUAUAUUAAUUUAGCUGUAUGUGUGUAUUGGAUCAUUACUGAGUGUGUAUCAAAAAAUCUUACAGUAUAUAUCAUCUAGUUAUAUAUUUAGUGUGUAUCAUAUGGUCAUAUAAUAUAUAUUGCUAUGUAUUAAAAAUGAGGAAGAAAG